CGAAGGGGGCGAGCGUUGUUCGGAAUUAUUGGGCGUAAAGGGAGCGUAGGCGGUUCGAUAAGUCACUUGUGAAAUCUCUGGGCUCAACCCAGAGUCUGCAAGCGAAACUGUCGGGCUUGAGUAUGGGAGAGGUGAGUGGAAUUCCUGGUGUAGCGGUGAAAUGCGUAGAUAUCAGGAGGAACACCUGUGGCGAAAGCGGCUCACUGGACCAUUACUGACGCUGAGGCUCGAAAGCUAGGGGAGCAAACAGGAUUAGAUACCCUGGUAGUCCUAGCCCUAAACGAUGAUUGCUUGGUGUGGUGGGUACCCAAUCCCACUGUGCCGAAGCUAACGCGAUAAGCAAUCCGCCUGGGGAGUACGGUCGCAAGGCUG
rnacentral:rRNA from 1 species